GUGCUUGCUAUGGCAGCACAUAUGCUAAAAUUGGAAUGAUGCAGAGAAGAUUAGCGUGGCCCCUGCGCAAAGAUGACAUGCAAAUUCAUGAAGAGUUCCACAUUUCU
rnacentral:snRNA from 1 species